rnacentral:lncRNA from 1 species
CUUAGGAGUGUAUGUUGUUGUGAGAAACGUCUCAUUGAGGACUACUUGGCAUCACACUCACCCCAAGUCUCAGAGCAAAACUGCCCAUACCGAACCCCCAUAUCCUGGUUUCUCCCAGGUGCAUGUCCUUGUUUUCAUCAGCCUGAAACAAGGGUGUGCCCAGGGUCCCUGGCAAGGGGUGAGCAGAGUGCUGCAGUAUUUGCUGAUAUUGUGCCUUUAGGGCGUGAAGGAGUUAAACUUUUCAGAUGGAAAGCGAACUGAAGAUCAGACUAGCAGCCUGGUGACCUCCCGCCGCUGGGACAGCAGCAGCUCCCAGCCAAGCCCGGCAGUUCCAUCCAUCCAUCGGCGUGGUGGGGCGGCGGGCAGCGGCGCACGGUGCUGCAGCUCACGACUGCAUCUGGCCUUGACCUUCUCAGCAGCAGAUCAGGAUCCCGAAACCCUUCACUACAAGACACCUGCACCUUUCAGAGUGGCAGCCUUGAUGUAAAUUGGUAGACAGGCACACACUUCGCUUGAUUCAGUGGAGCAGUUCCCGGUAGAAAAGCCAAGACCGUAAGUGCGUGCUGGGUGAGCGGGUGGGCACAGGCUCCCCUCGGGAUAGGAAUACUAAGGGACACCUCACCGCAGCUUUCAGGGACCCCGUAAGUUUAUUGAGAUAUCUUGGCAAUCUGCAAAAAUUCAGUUUGCAGCAAGGCAGCUGGAGUGGUUCUAUUGACUCUGCUGUCAUCAAAUGAGUCAGCGGCAAGUCACAGUCUCCCAUGUCAGCAGGGCGUGGCGCGCCAGGAAAUCAGUCACAAAAGUGGGGGAAGAGCAAAGAACCCCCCAAGAAUUCGAACCGUAAUUGACUGCUUUUAGAGGUUUCUAUUAUUUUCAAACGGCCAAUAAAGUCGUGUGUGUCGGCA